UGCACUCCUUCACCUCACAAAGCCAGAAAUAAUGCUGGUAAAGAGAUAAGGUUGUGCAUGAGGCUAGCAACCCCAUCCUGUAAAAUAAACACUGCUACCGAAACUUCAAGCCACUAGUUUGAAGCCCUAUGUUCCACUGGGGAACGUGAAGGAAAAAAAAAUAGGCAACGUGACCUGGAUUUAGACUGUCGUAAGACAGAUUUGUUCCUCCCUACUAUUGUGUACAUUAAUCAGUGUUAUAUAAUCUGACCGUUGCUAUGGUAAUCCUAUUUAGUACAAGUGGAGCCGCAUGUUCAGACAACUGGUCGAAAAGCCAAUGGUGCUAAACUACCAUCUAAGGGAUUGAGAUUGAACGCCUCUAAGUCUCAAUCCCAUCCAUAUUUGCGAUGGUAAAUUCGGUAUUCGAUACGUGGCUUGGCAAGCUUACGUAUUCCUUUUGGUGUCUGGACUUGACCAGGUGUUUGGUUUAGCAUAUGAAGUGUGGUGUUACGCCAGAGCAAUGACCAUAAACAAUGCUCUAGACUUCAAAUGUAGACGUUGACGCGACAUAUACUUGUGGUAUGAGCUUAAGAAUACUAGAUUCUUUGUGGACAAACUGAAUUUUUGUCGGGAAGACGUAACUGCUCGAACAUCUAUCACACUGUGUGGGAUUGAGUCCUAACCGUGCUUUUACUAUUAUU
rnacentral:ncRNA from 1 species